GAUGAACGCUGGCGGCGUGCCUAAUACAUGCAAGUCGAGCGAACGGACGAGAAGCUUGCUUCUCUGAUGUUAGCGGCGGACGGGUGAGUAACACGUGGAUAACCUACCUAUAAGACUGGGAUAACUUCGGGAAACCGGAGCUAAUACCGGAUAAUAUUUUGAACCGCAUGGUUCAAAAGUAAAAGACGGUCUUGCUGUCACUUAUAGAUGGAUCCGCGCUGCAUUAGCUAGUUGGUAAGGUAACGGCUUACCAAGGCAACGAUGCAUAGCCGACCUGAGAGGGUGAUCGGCCACCUUGGAACUGAGACAGGGUCCAGACUCCUGCGGGAGGCAGCAGUAGGGAAUCUUCCGCAAUGGGCGAGAGCCUGACGGAGCAACACCGCGUGAGUGAUGAAGGUCUUCGGAUCGUAAAACUCUGUUAUUAGGGGAAAACAUAUGUGUAAGUAACUGUGCACAUCUUGACGGUACCUAAUCAGAAAGCCACGGCUAACUACGUG
rnacentral:rRNA from 1 species